rnacentral:rRNA from 1 species
GACGUAGGGGGCGAGCGUUGUCCGGAUUUAUUGGGCGUAAAGAGCUCGUAGGCGGCUUGGCAAGUCGGGUGUGAAAACUUCAGGCUCAACCUGGAGCGGCCACUCGAUACUGCUAUGGCUUGAGUCCGGUAGGGGACCACGGAAUUCCUGGUGUAGCGGUGAAAUGCGCAGAUAUCAGGAGGAACACCAGUGGCGAAGGCGGUGGUCUGGGCCGGAACUGACGCUGAGGAGCGAAAGCGUGGGGAGCGAACAGG